rnacentral:tRNA from 1 species
GCCCCUAUGGUUAAACUCUUGGCUGCUAACCUAAAGGUUGGUGGUUAGAACCCACCCAGUGGCU